rnacentral:lncRNA from 1 species
CGCUUUACCAGAGCUGUAGCGAGCAAAACUUUUCUAUCCAUGCAUGUGACUGCAACUGAUGCCCACGCUAUUCUGAGAAGACUGGAAAAGUGUAGGGAAAUUGAUGCAUCUCAAAGGGAGAGCCCUUCAUGUCCAUGUCUCUCUGUCUGGCAGGAAAAAUGUCGUUAGUGGGCUCUGGUUGCCUGUCUGGCAGAGGCAGGGGAACAGUCGGUGUUCACAAAGCUGUUGGGCAAAGUGAAGGAUGCGCAGCCCCUGGAUGCACAGACCCUUGUGUCCUUACCGAAGCUGUUUCAAGAUGUGAAUCCCAAGCUGAGAGCAGCCUUGCUGGAGAAGGAACGGGACAGUGGAGAAGCUCUGCAGCAAACAGGCAGUUUUGGAUUGCUGUGAAGGCAGCUCUCAGAGGGAAGCCAUCCACAAUCUGCUCAAGAAGGUGGAAGAAGAGAAAACCCUGAAAGCUGAAAGUUUGGUCAAACUUCUGGGGGCUGUGAAGGCAUCAUUCACCUUCUGCUAGACAGCCUGGUGGUAGCAGCAAAUGUCUCUGAUGACAAAGGUAUGAUGGGUGCACUACAUUCAGAUAUAUGGGAUCUCGGUUGAGGGAAUUGCCAGGAAGUCUGGUUGCUUGUAUGGACUUGAGUGUGCUCUUUUAAUUUCUUACCAGGGAAUGGGAUGGCCAUUUUAUGCAGACAAAAUUCAGAUUUGGAACACUGGGGUGAGAUUACUAUGCCAGAAAGAGGCCUGCUGCUUUGCAAUGAAAUGAGCUGUGUUAGGCAGAAGCCUGUUGCUGUCUUUCCUUGAGUUUGACACUGAGACUAGGCUAUCAUAUCUGGAAAACAGGAGGACUCUUCCUGCUAGUGUCAAGUUACUUUUUUGUGUUUGAGUCACUUAAAUGCAGCAGCAUGUUUCCUCAUAAUAAACAAAACAAUUUUCAUAUAAUAAACUCUUCGUGAGGGAAAGCAUCUUUGCCAAAAUCUGGUCCGCUGGCAGCAUUAACAUAUGUUAAUAUGUUAAUAUGUACAUAUGUUGGCUGUCUUUGAAAGCAAGUAUCUAAAACUUCCUCAAACUGACAGAUGUCUUGACAUUGAAUGUAGGCAAUGACCAACCUGGCUGCUGUCUUUGUGAAUUUCUUUGUGGUUGACGGAGAUUGUGGGCUUUUUCCAGAUCUUAUCUUUUGACAUAUGAACAUGAUAUCUGAGGGUUAUCUUAUCAUCACCAUUUUGCCCUCCUGUGGGAACUACUAGAGAGAUAAGUAAGUUUUACUCAAUUAGCCUCUUGCCCUGUAAUUUCCAUUAACGUUAAAAGUGACAAUGUGGUUCUGAGGCUUUAAUCUGCUCAGUGCCGGGGAAACUUAGUUGGGCUUUGGUCCUCCCCUAGAUCUAGGUAGUGUUUCUGCAGAUCAUGAUUAUUAACUUGUGGUCUCUUGGCUGGAGCUGUGUGCUAACGGGUGUCCCAUACUUAGUGUCCCCAGUAGACAUCUUUGUCACAGACAGCUAGUCCCCUUCUUAUUUGUUGUUGUUGUUGUUGCCUGCCGGUGGUGCCGGGACUUGGAGUCCUCAGCCUUUCAAGUUGGAGUGGGUUUAGGCACAAGUCUGAGCAAUUCAGAGUGGCAAAUUUCCCUGGCUCUGAAGUCACCUGAAAAUUAAAAGCUAAACUAGUAUGCAAUGAAAUGCAAAUGAUUGUUUAUGAGUGCAGUUUUGCUUUCUAUUAAUGCUGAUAAUUUCUUCUGUAGCAAACAUUCCUGACAGGCAGUUUGCUUUGUCAUUUGUUAAGCAUGAUUGCUUUCUUGAGACACCAGACUCCCAACAUGGUUAAUUAUCUAGAGGUAAUACCCAUUCCGAGGAGGAGCAUUGUUUAAUUACAUAGAGUUGAAUCUCCUCAAAUUGCAGCUUGAACAAACAGAAGCACAAAUGUUUCUUAUCAUGAAAAUGAAGAGGGAGGGAAUGUUUUGAGCUGCUAAUAGUAACCCUUGCCUGUCCUGUAAUGUAGUGCUGAGAGACAGGACCGGUGGAGAAUAUGCUUUUGUUAUGGAGCUUUUCCCAGACCUGCAGCCAGUGAUGCAGGAGCUAGGGCAUGUGGGUAAGAAAUGCACAGGCUUUCGUCCUUCAGUGGUCAUUUACAAACAGUACUGGUAGUUUGAGUUGUAGCGGACCUCAUUCUCCUGGUGGUCUGAGAUUGUUUCACAGAACUGCUUUCUAAUGUUGGGGUUCACAGAAUCACAGAAUCACAGAAUUUCUAGGUUGGAAGAGACCUCAAGAUCAUCAAGUCCAACCUCUAACCUAACACAAACAGUCCCCACUAAACCAUAUCCCUAAGCUCUACAUCUAAACGUCUUUUAAAGACUUCCAGGGAUGGUGACUCCACCACCUCCCUGGGCAGCCUGUUCCAAUGUCUAACAACCCUUUCGGUAAAGAAGUUCUUCCUAACAUC